AGCAGGGCUGUGGCCAGCCAGCGCCCAGAGGAGAGGACCCCGGCUCGCCCGAGUCUCUGUGGUGGAGUGAUUAAACAAACCUCAGCCUCAGAGGGUCAGCUGACCCCAGACGGUGACUCAGAGGGGCUGCUCUUGGGAGGGACCCGAGUGGCAGUGGGGUAGGUGGGACCUUUGCUUUCUGUGUCUGGUGGCUCUCCAUCUGGGCUCAAUGACCUCAUGAAGCCGACUCAGGCCGCCCACCCUUCUCUCACAGAGGGAGACUCAGGCCUCACGUGGGUGUUCCCGGCUCUGCAAGGCCAGGGUCAGGGUGGUGGCCUGGGAAGGCCCGGCUCUGUGCUCUUGCUGACCAGCUCAUCGCCCCUGGGGAGCCAGCCCCACCUCCAGGACUGGCCACUCUAAGCAGCAGCCAGCACUCUGUGGGAAGGGACAGUGGCCCUGCUGCAGGAAAAGGACCUUGUAAAGACACUUUUUCAGCCAGGGCUUUGCAAACUGGGGAGCACUGUGUGGUCACCUGUGUCCAGUCACUAAGGGCUGAGACCAACAUGUGCAAGGCCCCGGGGCAUAGCCACGUCCGGGGCAGAGGUGGGUGUCCUCUGCUGUCCCCUGCCAGAGCCUCUCCUCACACUUCCUGUCUGGAUCAGAGCCCUAGUCUGAAGCCUGAGGCUGCUGAGCAGAUGACCCCUGUAGGCCCGAGGCAGUGCUCCUCCACCCCCUCCCUCCCUCAGGGCCGUGGACCAGCUCCGAGUGCCUGAGGGUGACCCGAAACUCCCUGUAGCCAUGACAGUGGGCCCAGCUUUUGGGAACCCAGGCUGGCCACCACAGCACACUCCCGGUCAGUCCGUGUAGUGCCAUGCACUCCAUUCAUCAUAAUUAUUUUAAUUAAGAAGAUAAGAAACAGCUCAUCAAAGAUUUAAUUAUAAUGAGCAGCUAACAACACUUGGAUGAGUCACAUGACCCGAGUGGCUGCUGGUUCUCACCUCCCUGUCAGGCACCGAAGACAGCGCAGGAGGCACCCAGAAGGUAGGGUCCCGGCCUCCCAACACCGUGAGGGGCCCCGCCAGCCCUGACUGUCCCCAGUUGGGAGGACCGUCCUGGUGUGGCCACUGUCCUGAGCUCAGGAGGGUGCACAUCCCAUGGUGUCCUCGAUCUCCGUGGAGGACAUUCGCUUUGUGCCCCGCCCUGGCCACACCCACCACAGGGCACGCUCUCCAGGCCAGCUCCUGGUUCACUGCUGGGACCCGAGGAAGGAGCACAUGGAGGGACCGGGAGCUCUCUCGGCUGGGCCUGGGGCUGGGAGCUGGGUACAGGGAAGACUUCCUGGAAGGGCCUGGGCCUGGCUUGAGAGUGGGUGGCAGCCUGCAGGCCACCUGGGGACACUGGCCUAGAACCCACAGAAACAGGGGCAGUGGGAGCAGCUUGAGAUGGGCACCAGUAGUGUGUGCUGGGCCCACUGCCCGGGCUCCGUGUACCCUGGUAGUGCGAUGUCACCUUCAGAGGCCCCUGUCUCCUUUGGGGACGCUGACCCUGCCCUCACAGAAUGGAAGGAGGCUGCCACGGCCUGCCUGAUCUAGGCUGGACAUGGAGUGGGCAGAAGGGCACCAGAGCCCCAGCGCAGGCCGGAGGUGCUGGGGUCAGGGCUCACGUCUUUCCAGACAGCCUGGGUCACAGCCAGGAGCUCUGAGCACCCAGGGGACAUGAGGCCCUGUCCCUGCUCUCCUGCUCUUGCUGGUCACUGGCAGAGGCGCCGUGCUGAGCCGGCCUGGCCCUGAUGUGGAGUGCCGCUGGCCCCGGGCUCUGAGGAGGUCCUUUUCCUCUUCCGGCAGCACUGCCCGGCCUCUGCCUGUCUUCCCUGGCCCCCAGCCCCUCACGCCUCCUGGUCUUGAAGCAUCUCUCCUUCCUCUUGUGACCCUAGUCAUUGGAUUGGGGUCCACCUUCAGUCCAGGGUGAUCAUAUCUUGGUAUCGGAGUCACCUCUGCAGACACCAAAUAAGGUCACAUUUACAAGUGUCAGGGUUUGGAUGUGGACACAGCAUUGGGGACAGAUACUGAAACCGUGUGGCUGGUGGCAAGUCACUGACCCUCUCUGAGCCUCUGCUUACACACAUUGAGUAGGAGCCUCCCUCUGAGGGAAGCCAAGGACCAGUGGGUCCAUAUUCCAUGGCCUGUCCAUAGCAGGAUCUCAGGGCCUUCCGAGAAUUAGGACCAGAGGAUGGGAACAGACACUGUCUCAGGGACUUGGUAGUCCUCCCCCGUGGCUACCGGGGGCAGUACUGAGCUCAUCUGUCCCUGGGUCAGACACGGGCCUCCACCUCCCUCGGGGAGGCAGGGACAUCACUUCCCGGGUCCUUCCAGGCCUCCAGCCAGGAGGCCCUCUAGGUAUUGCACACCCGUUCAAGCUGAAAGAAAUUGCAAACCAAAUUAGCCAAAGAUUUAAUAGAAAUUGAUUUUGACUUAAAGCCCUUCGAGUGCUCACUCUGCAGAUGGCCACUCCGCUGACCGCCCCACUGUGUCUGAUCUGAUCUGGGACCUUGCAGGGCUCCUCCUGAUGAGGCAGCUUUUCUUAUUGUCUCCCGGUGACCACUGAGCUCCACCUCCAGGCUGCACGGGAAUCGGUGUCCUCUCUCCUUCCAACCUGGCGUCUCUGCACACAAGAAGAAACAUUCCCCUGAACUGGUAGGAGAAGCGCGGACUCCUCCACCCUGAGCCCUCACAGCCGGUGCUAAAGCAGGAGCAUGAGACAGUUCCCAUCUGGGAAGGGUGAAACCUGCAUGUCCCCUGCUCAGGCCCUUCUGUCGGGGGAUUGUGCCACCCCUGAUUUGGGAGGUGGGCAUAAUCUCAAGGGCACUGGCUAGGAGAGUCUUGGCGCAGGACCUGAGUCACGUGGUCUGGAAGGUCAGAUAUGACCGGGAAGGGGGCUUGGCAUCAGAAAUGUGUUUGGAGACCACCCAGUGGUGAGCGUGCGUGCGCUGCACAUCUGAGAACUCAGGUCACCAACUCUUUGGCCCUUAGCCCCAAAUCCCACCCACCGGCCAGGUGAGUCCAGGGACACCUUGCUGCUGAGGCUCAGCCCUAAGCGGCAGGUGCCUGUCUGGUGCCCUGCGUCCCCGCCCAGUGCCACACAGAGCAGUUGACAGCAUCAGCCGAGGCGGAGCCCCAGGCCCUUAC
rnacentral:lncRNA from 1 species